CAUUCUGAUCACCGAAGUUAAGCAACGUCGAGCCUGGUCUAUACCUAGAUGGGUAACAUCUUGGGAAUACCAGGUGCUGUAAGC